GAGUUUGAUCAUGGCUCAGGAUGAACGCUGGCGGCGUGCCUGACACAUGCAAGUCGAGCGCGGUUGUGCUUAGUAUUGAGUGUUUUAUUGAUAUAAAACAUUGAAUUCUAUGCACAACUGAGCGGCGGACGGGUGAGUAACGCGUGGGUAACCUGCCCUAUACACAUGGAUAACAUACUGAAAAGUUUACUAAUACAUGAUAAAAUAGUUUUUCGGCAUCGAAGAAUUAUCAAAGUGUUAGCGGUAUAGGAUGGACCCGCGUCUGAUUAGCUAGUUGGUGAGAUAACUGCCCACCAAGGCGACGAUCAGUAGCCGACCUGAGAGGGUGAUCGGCCACAUUGGAACUGAGACACGGUCCAAACUCCUACGGGAGGCAGCAGUGGGGAAUAUUGCACAAUGGGCGCAAGCCUGAUGCAGCAACGCCGCGUGAACGAUGAAGGUCUUCGGAUCGUAAAGUUCUGUUGCAGGGGAAGAUAAUGACGUACCCUGGAGGAGCCCCGCA
rnacentral:rRNA from 1 species